rnacentral:rRNA from 1 species
UGGGGAAUAUUGCACAAUGGGCGCAAGCCUGAUGCAGCCAUGCCGCGUGUGUGAAGAAGGCCUUCGGGUUGUAAAGCACUUUCAGCGAGGAGGAAGGUGGUGAACUUAAUACGUUCAUCAAUUGACGUUACUCGCAGAAGAAGCACCGGCUAACUCCGUGCCAGCAGCCGCGGUAAUACGGAGGGUGCAAGCGUUAAUCGGAAUUACUGGGCGUAAAGCGCACGCAGGCGGUUUGUUAAGUCAGAUGUGAAAUCCCCGGGCUCAACCUGGGAACUGCAUUUGAAACUGGCAAGCUAGAGUCUCGUAGAGGGGGGUAGAAUUCCAGGUGUAGCGGUGAAAUGCGUAGAGAUCUGGAGGAAUACCGGUGGCGAAGGCGGCCCCCUGGACGAAGACUGACGCUCAGGUGCGAAAAGCGUGGGGCAGCAAACAGGAUUAGAUACCCUGGUAGUCCACGCUGUAAACGAUGUCGAUUUGGAGGUUGUGCCCUUGAGGCGUGGCUUCCGGAGCUAACGCGUUAAAUCGACCGCCUGGGGAGUACGGCCGCAAGGUUAAAACUCAAAGGAAUUGACGGGGUC